UAGAACGCAAUCGGAAUCAGGCCGAAAGGCCUGCGCCAGCGAUGGCCGGUUGCGAGGUGCUGCAUGGUUGUCGUCAGCUCGUGCCGUGAGGUGUCGGGUUAAGUCCCAUAACGAGCGCAACCCCUACUGCUAGUUGCCAGCGGGUUAGUGCCGGGGACUCUAGCGGAACUGCCAGCGUAAGCUGCGAGGAAGGUGGGGAUGACGUCAAAUCAGCGCGGCCCUUACGUCCAGGGCUACACACGUGUUACAAUGGCCAGUACAGAGGGCAGCCACCCCGCGAGGGGCGCUAAUCCUAAAAGCUGGUCCCAGUUCGGAUCGGAGUCUGCAACCCGACUCCGUGAAGCUGGAUUCGCUAGUAAUCGCGCAUCAGCCACGGCGCGGUGAAUACGUUCCCGGGCCUU
rnacentral:rRNA from 1 species